AUACGUAGGGGGCAAGCGUUGUCCGGAUUUACUGGGUGUAAAGGGUGCUCAGGCGGGUUUGUAAGUCAGAGGUGAAACUCCGGAGCUUAACUCCGGAACUGCCUUUGAUACUGCAUCCCUAGAGUUUGAGAGAGGCGAGUGGAAUAUCUGGUGUAGCAGUGAAAUGCGUAGAUAUCAGAUAGAACACCAAUGGCGAAGGCAGCUCGCUGGCUCAAUACUGACGCUAAAGCACGAAAGUGUGGGUAGCAAACAGGAUUAGAUACCCUGGUAGUCCACACCCUAAACGAUGAAUACUAGAUGUUGGCCCUUUCGGGGGUCAGUAUCACAGCUAACGCAUUAAGUAUUCCACCUGGGAAGUACGAUCGCAAGGUUGAA
rnacentral:rRNA from 1 species